UACCGAUAAGAGAUGUCAACGGAGAAGAAAUGGAAUCAUGGAUGAGAGAUUCCAGUUAGAAAAGAAUGGAUGUAAUAUCUCACAAAGCUUUGAAAGGAGACAAAAUCAAUAACCAGGAAAAUCUGGGGGUUCUAUUUUCCUGAAUGUGAAGGAUGAAAGUGCACAUAUACACGAAUGAAGCAGAGGAAAGGAAACAGAGGAGCAAGAGAGAUAAAC